ACGGAAGGCAGCAGUGGGGAAUAUUGCACAAUGGGCGCAAGCCUGAUGCAGCAACGCCGCGUGAGGGAAGACGGUCUUCGGAUUGUAAACCUUUGUCUUUGGUGAAGAAGAAAGUGACGGUAGCCAAGGAGGAAGCCACGGCUAACUACGUGCCAGCAGCCGCGGUAAUACGUAGGUGGCAAGCGUUAUCCGGAUUUACUGGGUGUAAAGGGAGCGUAGACGGCAAAGCAAGUCUGAAGUGAAAUCCCGGGGCUCAACCCCGGAACUGCUUUGGAAACUGUUUAGCUAGAGUGCAGGAGAGGUAAGCGGAAUUCCUAGUGUAGCGGUGAAAUGCGUAGAUAUUAGGAGGAACACCAGUGGCGAAGGCGGCUUACUGGACUGUAACUGACGUUGAGGCUCGAAAGCGUGGGGAGCAAACAGGAUUAGAUACCCUGGUA
rnacentral:rRNA from 1 species